ACUGAACGCUGGCGGCAGGCUUAACACAUGCAAGUCGAGCGGAGAUGAGGUGCUUGCACCUUAUCUUAGCGGCGGACGGGUGAGUAAUGCUUAGGAAUCUGCCUAUUAGUGGGGGACAACAUUCCGAAAGGAAUGCUAAUACCGCAUACGUCCUACGGGAGAAAGCAGGGGACCUUCGGGCCUUGCGCUAAUAGAUGAGCCUAAGUCGGAUUAGCUAGUUGGUGGGGUAAAGGCCUACCAAGGCGACGAUCUGUAGCGGGUCUGAGAGGAUGAUCCGCCACACUGGGACUGAGACACGGCCCAGACUCCUACGGGAGGCAGCAGUGGGGAAUAUUGGACAAUGGGCGGAAGCCUGAUCCAGCCAUGCCGCGUGUGUGAAGAAGGCCUUUUGGUUGUAAAGCACUUUAAGCGAGGAGGAGGCUACCUGGAUUAAUACUCUAGGAUAGUGGACGUUACUCGCAGAAUAAGCACCGGCUAACUCUGUGCCAGCCGCCGCCGUAAAAC
rnacentral:rRNA from 1 species